rnacentral:rRNA from 1 species
GACGUUACUCGCAGAAUAAGCACCGGCUAACUCUGUGCCAGCAGCCGCGGUAAUACAGAGGGUGCGAGCGUUAAUCGGAUUUACUGGGCGUAAAGCGUGCGUAGGCGGCUUUUUAAGUCGGAUGUGAAAUCCCCGAGCUUAACUUGGGAAUUGCAUUCGAUACUGGGAAGCUAGAGUAUGGGAGAGGAUGGUAGAAUUCCAGGUGUAGCGGUGAAAUGCGUAGAGAUCUGGAGGAAUACCGAUGGCGAAGGCAGCCAUCUGGCCUAAUACUGACGCUGAGGUACGAAAGCAUGGGGAGCAAACAGGAUUAGAUACCCUGGUAGUCCAUGCCGUAAACGAUGUCUACUAGCCGUUGGGGCCUUUGAGGCUUUAGUGGCGCAGCUAACGCGAUAAGUAGACCGCCUGGGGAGUACGGUCGCAAGACCAAAACUCAAAUGAAUUGACGGGGGCCCGCACAAGCGGUGGAGCAUGUGGUUUAAUUCGAAGCAACGCGAAGAACCUUACCUGGCCUUGACAUGUCCGGAAUCUUGCAGAGAUGCGAGAGUGCCUUCGGGAAUCGGAACACAGGUGCUGCAUGGCUGUCGUCAGCUCGUGUCGUGAGAUGUUGGGUUAAGUCCCGUAACGAGCGCAACCCUUGUCCUUAGUUACCAGCACGUUAUGGUGGGCACUCUAAGGAGACUGCCGGUGACAAACCGGAGGAAGGUGAGGAUGACGUCAAGUCAUCAUGGCCCUUACGGCCAGGGCUACACACGUGCUACAAUGGUCGGUACAGAGGGUUGCCAAGCCGCGAGGUGGAGCUAAUCCCAUAAAACCGAUCGUAGUCCGGAUCGCAGUCUGCAACUCGACUGCGUGAAGUCGGAAUCGCUAGUAAUCGUGAAUCAGAAUGUCACGGUGAAUACGUUCCCGGGCCUUGUACACACCGCCCGUCACACCAUGGGAGUGGGUUGCUCCAGAAGUAGCUAGUCUAACCGCAAGGGGGACGGUACCACG